CUCAAUGGUGGGCUGGAUAGGGCUACCGAAAGGUAGGCCGGAUGACAAUCCCGGUAGUGCAAACCCUGUUCAGUUCACCACCAAU
rnacentral:antisense_RNA from 1 species